GUGCUCACUUUGGCAGCACAUACACUAAAAUUGGAAUGAUACAGAGAAGAUUAGCAUGGCCCCUGCGCAAGGAUGACAGAUAGAAGAGAUGGCCUAUGGAUAUGUUA